UACGUAGGGUGCGAGCGUUAAUCGGAAUUACUGGGCGUAAAGGGUGCGCAGGUGGUUUUGCAAGACUGACGUGAAAGCCCCGGGCUCAACCUGGGAACGGCGUUAGUGACUGCAAGACUAGAGUGUGGCAGAGGGGGGUGGAAUUCCACGUGUAGCAGUGAAAUGCGUAGAGAUGUGGAGGAACACCGAUGGCGAAGGCAGCCCCCUGGGCUAACACUGACACUCAUGCACGAAAGCGUGGGGAGCAAACAGAAUUAGAUACCCUGGUAGUCCACGCCCUAAACGAUGUCAACUGGUUGUUGGGAUUUUCGGAUCUUAGUAACGAAGCUAACGCGAGAAGUUGACCGCCUGGGGAGUACGGCCGCAAGGUUAAAACUCAAAGGAAUUGACGGGGGCCCGCACAAGCGGUGGAUGAUGUGGAUUAAUUCGAUGCAACGCGAAAAACCUUACCUGGUCUUGACAUGUCGAGGAUCCUCCAGAGACGGAGGAGUGCCGCAAGGAACUCGAACACAGGUGCUGCAUGGCUGUCGUCAGCUCGCGUCGUGAGAUGUUGGGUUAAGUCCCGCAACGAGCGCAACCCUUGCCAUUAGUUGCCAUCCUUAAGUUGGGCACUCUAAUGGGACUGCCGGUGACAAACCGGAGGAAGGUGGGGAUGACGUCAAGUCCUCAUGGCCCUUAUGACCAGGGCUUCACACGUCAUACAAUGGUCGGUACAGAGGGUAGCUAAGCCGCGAGGUGGUGCCAAUCUCAGAAAACCGAUCGUAGUCCGGAUUGCAGUCUGCAACUCGACUGCAUGAAGUCGGAAUCGCUAGUAAUCGCGGAUCAGCAUGUCGCGGUGAAUACGUUCCCGGGCCU
rnacentral:rRNA from 1 species